AAAACAUGUUUGUGAAGGWCAAUUCCCGUGGGCCGGGAGACGAUGUCCCACCGNGCUGUCGUUCUUCACGAUAGCAAUUGUCUACUUCCAAAAAACCUGWRCGCAACGAGGAUAUCUGGGAUAUUGGAUCCCUANAYACCGAAGGCGAAUGCGAUACUGGGUCAAAC
rnacentral:rRNA from 1 species